rnacentral:rRNA from 1 species
GAUGAACGCUGGCGGCGUGCCUAAUACAUGCAAGUCGAGCGAACAGAUGAGGAGCUUGCUCCUUUGACGUUAGCGGCGGACGGGUGAGUAACACGUGUAUAACCUACCUAUAAUACUGGGAUAACUUCGGGAAUCCGGAGCUAAUACCGGAGAAUAUAUUGAACCGCAGGGUGCAUUGGUAAAAGUCGGUUUUGCUGUCACUUAUAGAUGGAUCCGCGCCGCAUUGGCGAGUUGGUAAGGUAACGGCUUACCAAGGCUACGAGGCGUAGCCGACCGGAGGGGAUGGUCAGCCGCACUGGGACGGAGACACGGUCCAGACGCCUACGGGAGGCACCAGUAGGGAAACGUCCGGCAUGAGCGAAAGCCUGACGGCGCAGCGCCGCGUGAGUGAUGAGGAUCUUCGGAUCGUAGAACACUGUUAUUAGGGAAGAACAAAUGUGUAAGUAACUAUGCACGUCUUGACGGUAAAUGAGCAGAGAACCACGGCUAACUUCGUG